GCGAGGCACACCAGACCUGGGACCACAAGACCCCUGCUCACCCGCCUGCGACCGUGACAGCUUCCCGUGGGGCCGAGGCGGUGGGAGGCGUGUCAGCAGGACUUCCCGACACUCGUUCACGGAGGGGUCUAGCAGCGGACACCCGACUCUGUGUGAAAGACAGAAGAGAGACAGAUGAUUGCCACUUGCCACUGGAGUGUAUGGGUGUGAGAGCUGGACUACAAGGAAAGCUGAGCACCAAAGAAUUGAUGCUUCUGAACUGUGGUGUUGGAGAAGACUCUUCAGAGUCCCUUGGACUGCAAGGAGAUCCAACCAGUCCAUCCUAAAGGAGAUCAGUCCUGGGUGUUCAUUGGCAGGACUGAUGCUGAAGCUGAAACUCCAAUACUUGGGCCACCUGAUGCGAAGAGCUGACUCGCUGGAAAAGACCCUGAUGCUGGGAAAGAUUGAGGGCAGGAGGAGAAGGGGACAACAGAGGAUCAGAUGGUUGGAUGGCAUCACCGACUCAAUGGAGAUGAGUUUGAGUAAACUCCAGGAGUUGGUGAUGGACAGGGAAGCCAGGCGUGCUGCAGUCCAAUGGGGUCACAAAGAGUCGACUGAACUGAACUGAAUCAGAGUGGAUUUCACAGACUGAGUUUGAAUGACGGCCACAGACAGACAGGGUCAGCACAGACGAAAAAGCAGGCUCUCUGAAUGCCUGAAGAGCUUGGAGGGCCAUGUUGGGGAAUCUGGCCUUUGCUGAAGGUUGGGGUGACCACCUGACUUCCCCAUGAUGUGGAGGACCAGAUGUGGGGUGAAUUACAUUCCCAGAGUGCCUGAGAGCGCCAUGGCAGGACUCCCAAGAGGAUGCGGCAGUGACUCGGGGAGCAGGUGAGUCCUGAGGACAGAGCCUCUGCUUGGCUCCCCACGCCCCACCGCCUUGGUGCCUGG